GGGCUUGACAUCCCACGAACCUGCCUGAAAGGGCGGGGUGCCCGCGAGGGAGCGUGGAGACAGGUGGUGCAUGGCUGUCGUCAGCUCGUGUCGUGAGAUGUUGGGUUAAGUCCCGCAACGAGCGCAACCCUCACCCCUAGUUGCCACCGGGUAAUGCCGAGCACUCGAGGGGAACUGCCAGCGUCAAGCUGGAGGAAGGCGGGGAUGACGUCAAGUCAUCAUGCCCCUUACGCCCUAGGCUACACACGUGCUACAAUGGCCGGUACAAAGGGACGCAAGACCGCGAGGUGGAGCUAAUCCCAAAAAGCCGGUCUAAGUUCAGAUUGCAGUCUGCAACUCGACUGCAUGAAGGAGGAAUCGCUAGUAAUCGCGCAUCAGCCCGGCGCGGUGAAUACGUUCCCGGGCCUUGUACACACCGCCCGUCACACCACGAAAGCUGUCUGUACUCGAAGUCGCUGAG
rnacentral:rRNA from 1 species